GGAGAGAAAACUCAGUGGUAAGAGCACUCGACUACUAAUUGAGAGGUCCCCGCGCGCGGUUCAACCUCGGGUGUCCUCUUCA